rnacentral:lncRNA from 1 species
UCUUUAAAGGGAAGGCAGGAGGCGGACAGCUUGGCUGUGACCCUUUAGCGCUGGGUCGCGUGUGGCCCACCCUCGGCCUGAGGCAUUGUUGGGUGGUUGGAGGUGGUUGUAGUAUUUGGAAAAGAACUUGUCCCUGAAGGGCUCAGGGGACUUGGUUUCUCAGCUCCUAAUAUGGAAAAUUAAGGCAUUUCUUACGAGAUGCAGAUUUUAAAGCAGGCAUAUCUACUCGACGGCUUUGGAUUACUGCACUGCACAAAUUCCAGUCUCUGUCGGUUUUGGCUGAGAAGAGCUGUGCUUCUCACCAGCUACUGGUAGCUGAAGCAGAGAGAGAAGGCAGCAUACGUCAGCAUUUUCUUCUCUGCACUUACAAGAAAGAUCAAAGACUUUAAGACUUUCACUGUUUCUUCUACCGCUAUCUACUACGAGCUUCAAAGAGGAACCAGGAGUAUGGGAGGAGCAUGAAAGUGGACAAGGAACGUGACCAUUGAAGCACAGCACCACAGGGAGGGAUUUAGGCCCCAGGACUGCAGGCAGGCCUGGAUAAUAUCCAGCCUUCCACAAGAAGCUGGUGGAGCAGUGUUCCCUGACUCCUCCAAGGAAAGGAGACUCCCUUUCACGGUCUGCUAAGUAACGGGUGCCUUCCCAGACACUGGCGUUACCGCUUGACCAAGGAGCCCUCAAGCGGCCCUUACGCGGGCGUGACCGAAGGCUCACCUCUUGUCUUCUAGGUCACUUCUCACAAUGUCCCUUCAGCACCUGACCCUAUACCCGCUGGUUAUUCCUAGGUUAUAUUAGUAAUGCAACAAAGAGUAAUAUUAAAAGCUAAUGAUUAAUCAUGUUUAUAAUAAUGAUUGAUAAUUGUCCAUGAUCAUCUCUAUAUCUAAUUUGUAUUAUGACUAUUCUUAUUCUAACUAUUUUCUUUAUUAUACUGAAACAGUUUGUGCCUUCAGUCUCUUGCCUCGGCACCUAGGUAAUCCUCCACCCACAUCCUACUCUUGGACAACAGGAAAAUUAGAAAAGAUAAUGGAGAGCUUUUUCAGAAUGUUGAAUUUAGGAGUUGUGUGUGCUUUUGAUCUCCAUGUCAAUCCAUAAACAAUAAAUCCUGUUCUUAAAUUUGA